AUGUCCCCAUCCUCUUCCUCGCCCUGGCACCUGGCUGCCUGCCAGUAUUGGUCUGCCUUCAGACUGAGCCAGCUGGGGGUGCUAAACGGGCAGAAGCCAUCCAUUUUGUUGGUUGUGUCAAUCUUUUGCGGUUUCAGGGCCCUCAGCUGGCUCCCUGAAUGGUCAAGGCAGAAAAAACACGAGCAUGAAGCCAGGGAAAAGAGGGAACGAGGUUUCUGUUACGCUUGAAGUGCUCUGUGUGUACGUUUGGAUGAAGUAUCGCUCCAGCCUGAGUUCCCAGCUCCCGCUCCAGCCCCGGUCCUGGCAGAGGUUUGCAGAGCUCGCAGCGAGUGAGUGACAAUCGUCUGGAGGAGACCCACGGCAUCUGCGAGCCUGGCGAGAGCCAUCGUAAGCUGCGGUCGGCUCUCCUCGCUGUUUCUCUUUGUCUGACACACGCCUGUGCCAUGUAGAGAAAAUGUCGCACACCUAACCGGGAGCUUUCUGUCAACAGCACUAGAGGAGAUUGGGGCUGGCUCCGUCCUCGCUGGUUGUGGAGUGGAAGAUACUCUGCUGGUAUACACCGAAAGAUCUUUGCCUUGUCUUCAGUUCCUCACAGAGAGAGAAAGGAAGGUGCUUGUCUAACAUUUAUUCUUGAAAAUCCAUCGAGGAACGCACAGCUUACAAGGGUUUUACUGAGUCAGAGACACUUCUGCAGAAAGCGGCCUGGUUAACUCCGCUCAACCCCAGCACUCUCACGAGGUUUAAGCAUGCAUAACACUGAAGUAAAACGGCCUCACAGUGUCUUACCCAGCCACGGUUUUUGGGCAUUCAGCAACAUUAUCUUCUAGUAUGUACAAAGGCCUAUAGCAAAAAGUUGUACUUAAACAUAAAGCUGACAUAGCCCCACUAAGAUGUUACAGCCAUCUUGGCUAGCAGGUCACAGAGACCAAGGGGGCACAAUGCUUCUUUGGCGUGAGUUAAUCAGUUCAGAAAACCAAAAUAAAGCUUCAUUAAAUAGAAAUAAAGAAAAGACU
rnacentral:lncRNA from 1 species